rnacentral:rRNA from 1 species
UGGGGAAUUGUUCGCAAUGGGCGCAAGCCUGACGACGCAACGCCGCGUGGAGGACGAAGAUCUUCGGGUCGUAAACUCCUGUCGAGCGGGACGAACGCUUCGCGGAUGAAUAAUCCGCGGAAUUGACGGUACCGCUAAAGGAAGCCCCGGCUAACUCCGUGCCAGCAGCCGCGGUAAUACGGGGGGGGCAAGCGUUGUUCGGAAUUACUGGGCGUAAAGGGCUCGUAGGCGGCCAACUAAGUCAGACGUGAAAUCCCUAGGCUCAACCUAGGAACUGCGUCUGAUACUGGAUGGCUUGAAUCCGGGAGAGGGAUGCAGAAUUCCAGGUGUAGCGGUGAAAUGCGUAGAUAUCUGGAGGAAUACCGGUGGCGAAGGCGGCAUCCUGGACCGGCAUUGACGCUGAGGAGCGAAAGCUAGGGGAGCAAACGG